rnacentral:rRNA from 1 species
AGAGUUUGAUCCUGGCUCAGAUUGAACGCUGGCGGCAUGCCUUACACAUGCAAGUCGAACGGCAGCACGGGAGCAAUCCUGGUGGCGAGUGGCGAACGGGUGAGUAAUACAUCGGAACGUGUCCUGUAGUGGGGGAUAGCCCGGCGAAAGCCGGAUUAAUACCGCAUACGAUCUGCGGAUGAAAGCGGGGGAUCUUAGGACCUCGCGCUACAGGGGCGGCCGAUGGCAGAUUAGCUAGUUGGUGGGGUAAAGGCCUACCAAGGCGACGAUCUGUAGCUGGUCUGAGAGGACGACCAGCCACACUGGGACUGAGACACGGCCUAGACUCCUACGGGAGGCAGCAGUGGGGAAUUUUGGACAAUGGGCGCAAGCCUGAUCCAGCAAUGCCGCGUGUGUGAAGAAGGCCUUCGGGUUGUAAAGCACUUUUGUCCGGAAAGAAAACCUUCGCCCUAAUACGGUGGGGGGAUGACGGUACCGGAAGAAUAAGCACCGGCUAACUACGUGCCAGCAGCCGCGGUAAUACGUAGGGUGCAAGCGUUAAUCGGAAUUACUGGGCGUAAAGCGUGCGCAGGCGGUCCGCUAAGACAGAUGUGAAAUCCCCGGGCUUAACCUGGGAACUGCAUUUGUGACUGGCGGGCUAGAGUAUGGCAGAGGGGGGUAGAAUUCCACGUGUAGCAGUGAAAUGCGUAGAGAUGUGGAGGAAUACCGAUGGCGAAGGCAGCCCCCUGGGCCAAUACUGGCGCUCAUGCACGAAAGCGUGGGGAGCAAACAGGAUUAGAUACCCUGGUAGUCCACGCCCUAAACGAUGUCAACUAGUUGUCGGGUCUUCGUUGACUUGGUAACGUAGCUAACGCGUGAAGUUGACCGCCUGGGGAGUACGGUCGCAAGAUUAAAACUCAAAGGAAUUGACGGGGACCCGCACAAGCGGUGGAUGAUGUGGAUUAAUUCGAUGCAACGCGAAAAACCUUACCUACCCUUGACAUGUAUGGAAUCCUGCUGAGAGGUGGGAGUGCCCGAAAGGGAGCCAUAACACAGGUGCUGCAUGGCUGUCGUCAGCUCGUGUCGUGAGAUGUUGGGUUAGGUCCCGCAACGAGCGCAACCCUUGUCCCUAGUUGCUACGCAAGAGCACUCUAGGGAGACUGCCGGUGACAAACCGAGGAAGGUGGGGAUGACGUCAAGUCCUCAUGGCCCUUAUGGGUAGGGCUUCACACGUCAUACAAUGGUCGGAACAGAGGGUCGCCAACCCGCGAGGGGGAGCCAAUCCCAGAAAACCGAUCGUAGUCCGGAUCGCACUCUGCAACUCGAGUGCGUGAAGCUGGAAUCGCUAGUAAUCGCGGAUCAGCAUGCCGCGGUGAAUACGUUCCCGGGUCUUGUACACACCGCCCGUCAC